GACAGAGGGUGCAAACGUUGCUCGGAAUCACUGGGCGUAAAGGGCGUGUAGGCGGGAAGGAAAGUCAGAUGUGAAAUCCCCAGGCUCAACCUGGGAACUGCAUUUGAAACUCCCUUUCUUGAGUACCGGAGAGGAAAGUGGAAUUCCUGGUGUAGAGGUGAAAUUCGUAGAUAUUCGCAAGAACACCAGUGGCGAAGGCGGCUCACUGGCCCGAUACUGACGCUGAGGCACGAAAGCGUGGGGAGCAAACAGG
rnacentral:rRNA from 1 species